rnacentral:rRNA from 1 species
AUUGAACGCUGGCGGCAGGCCUAACACAUGCAAGUCGAGCGGAUGAAGGGAGCUUGCUCCUGGAUUCAGCGGCGGACGGGUGAGUAAUGCCUAGGAAUCUGCCUGGUAGUGGGGGAUAACGUCCGGAAACGGGCGCUAAUACCGCAUACGUCCUGAGGGAGAAAGUGGGGGAUCUUCGGACCUCACGCUAUCAGAUGAGCCUAGGUCGGAUUAGCUAGUUGGUGGGGUAAAGGCCUACCAAGGCGACGAUCCGUAACUGGUCUGAGAGGCUGAUCAGUCACACUGGAACUGAGACACGGUCCAGACGCCUACGGGAGGCAGCAGUGGGGAAUAUUGGACAGUGGGCGAAAGCCUGAUCCAGCCAUGCCGCGUGUGUGAAGAAGGUCUUCGGAUUGUAAAGCACUUUAAGUUGGGAGGAAGGGCAGUAAGUUAAUACCUUGCUGUUUUGACGUUACCAACAGAAUAAGCACCGGCUAACUUCGUG